CGCCCGUCAAACUAUGAGAGCUGGUAAUACCUAAAACCGUUAAGAUAACCUCGUGAGUCUUGCGUCUAGGGUAGGACUGGUGAUUGGAGUUAAGUCGUAACAAGGUACCCCUACGGGAAUGUGGGGGUGGAUCACCUCCUUUCUAACGGAGUUAAUUAAAUUUUUAAUUAACACUAUUUAAAUUAGUGUACUUUAUAUAAAAAUCCAGUUAUUACUUAAAACCCAAAUGAAUUUUAAUUGUAAUAACAGGUCGGAUUCUAUUUAGUUUUGAGAGAUAUAUUCUCUCAUGAUAGUUCUUUGAAAACUGAAUAUUAUAACAAUCUUUUUAGUCUAAUCAUAUUGAAAAAUAUAAUAAGGAUACAUAAUAAGUUACUAAGGGCUUAUGGUGGAUGCCUUGGGACUGGAAGGCGAUGAAGGACAUGCUAAUCUGCGAUAAGCUACGGGUAGCUGAUAAGAGGCGUUUAUCCGUAGAUGUCCGAAUGGGGGAACCUAAAUAAUAGUGAUAUUAUUUAUCAUUAACUGAAUAAAUAGGUUAAUGAAGCUAUACCUAGUGAAGUGAAACAUCUCAGUAACUAGAGGAAAAGAAAACGAAUGUGAUUCCGUAAGUAGUGGCGAGCGAAAGCGGAACAGGCCAAACCGGAUUAAUUUCCGGGGUUGUAGGACUACAAUGUGGACUUAGAAAGGAUAGCAGAAUUGGUUGGGAAGCCAAAUCAUAGAGGGUGACAAUCCCGUAUGCGAAAUCUUUUUUAUACCUAGUAGUAUCCUGAGUACGGCGGGACACGUGGAAUCCUGUCGGAAUCUGCCCAGACCAUUGGGUAAGCCUAAAUACUAACCAGUCACCGAUAGCGCAUA
rnacentral:sRNA from 2 species